rfam:Triticum aestivum genome assembly, contig: Triticum_aestivum_CS42_TGACv1_scaffold_222311_3B
CUGAUACUCCCUCCGUUCGAAAUUAUUUGUCGUAGAAAUGAAUAUAUCUAGACGUUUUUUAAUUCUAGAUACAUCCAUUUUCGAGACAAAUAAUUUCGAAUGGAGGGAGUACAAU